CUUGGGCAAUCUGCCUUUAUGAGGGAGACAACCUGCCGAAAGGCGGGCUAAUAUCCCGUAAGACCACGGAAUGGCAUCAUUCAGAGGUUAAAGCUCCGCAAGGGGCGCAUGAAGAGGAGCCCAGGACCUAUCAGCUAGUUGGUGAGGUAACGGCUCACCAAGGCUUUGACGGGUAGCCGGCCUGAAAGGGUGAUCGGCCACACUGGCACUGAGACACGGGCCAG
rnacentral:rRNA from 1 species